rnacentral:rRNA from 1 species
UACAGAGGUCUCGAGCGUUGUUCGGAUUCAUUAGGGCGUAAAGGGUGCGUAGGUGGCUAGGUAAGUCGGGAUCGUAAAUCCCGGGGCUCAACCCCGGAACUGCAUUCGAUACUGCCUGGCUAGAGUACUGGAGAGGAGAUUGGAAAUUUACGGUGUAGCAGUGAAAUGCGUAGAUAUCGUAAGGAAGACCAGUGGCGAAGGCGGAUCUCUGGACAGUUACUGACACUGAGGCAGC